rnacentral:rRNA from 1 species
AUGGUGUUUGCACCCCAGGCAGCCUCCUCGAUGGGAUCGUCUUCGCCGUCGCCGUUUCACUUCGGUCAUCUCAUCACCAUCAAGCUCUCCGCAGACAACUACAUCUUCUGGCGUGCGCAGGUUCUCCCGCUCUUGGGGAGUCACUACCUGCUAGGCUACGUCGACGGAUCGCUUCCCUGCCCACCCGCGCUGGUAGACAGCGUGCACGGUCCGGUCUACAAUCCGGCCCAUCGCGUAUGGACGGAGCAGGACCAGGCGAACCUCUCCUCCAUCCAGGGGUCGCUCUCGCCGGCAGUUGCCGGCCUUGUUGUCUUCUCGAAGACGUCUCAUGAGGCCUGGACCAUCCUUGAGCGCACCUUUGGAGCGCAGUCCCAGGCUCGUGUCUCUGCACUCCGUCGUCAGCUUGGAGAGUGUCAGAAGCUUGACUCCACGGCCACUGAGUUCUACAACAAGGUCAAGGGCCUUGCCGACACAUUGGCCUCCAUUGGACAGCCCCUCACCGACUCCGAGUUCAACUCGUUUAUUGUCAAUGGUCUUGAUGAGGAGUAUGAUGCCUUAGUUGAGAUCAUCAACGAGCGGGGUAACUCAACACCCAUGUUGGCACACGAGGUUUUCUCUCGGCUUCUUCUCACUGAGCAACGGGUCGAGACUCGCCGCACCAGGGGCACUGGCUCUCUCUCGGCCAACGUCGCCACCAAGGGUGGCCGCUCUUCUUCAUCACCCCGGUCUCCCUUGGGGCUGCCACCGUCGCCCGCCUCGGCCCCCCCACCUACUGCGACCUUACCAGGGGCUGGCGGUCCACGUGUGUGUCAGCUUUGUGGCCGCGAUGGGCACUGGGCCUCCAAGUGUCAUAAGCGCUUCCAGCGAAGCUUCCUUGGUCUUGGCAAUGAUGGCAAAGAUACACGCAACAAUGCCCGUCAGGUCGCCAUGGCUGAUCGUCCCGCGCCGCAGAAGCACCAGGGACACACUCAGUCCUACUCCAUCGAUCCACACUGGUACAUGGACUCUGGGGCGACAGAGCAUCUGACCAGCGAGAUGGGGAAGCUUCACACUCGUGAACCCUAUCAUGGCUCCGACAAGAUCCACACCGCCAAUGGAGCAGGUAUGCACAUCUCUCAUAUUGGUCAAGCAUCUCUUCUCACUAGACAUGCCAAUAGGAGUCUUCAGCUUCGCAAUGUUCUUCGCGUUCCAUCUGUGACCCGCAAUCUUCUUUCAGUUCCUAAACUCACACGUGAUAAUAAUGUUCUUUGUGAAUUUCACCCUUUUGAUCUUUUUAUUAAGGAUCGGGGCACGAGGGACAUUCUUCUUAGUGGGCGGUUGUGCCAGGGCCUCUACCGUCUGGAGCAUCCUAGCGUCGCUCGCGUUUUCAGUGGAGUUCGGGUCUCUCCGUCACAGUGGCAUGCUCGUCUUGGUCACCCGGCCACACCUAUUGUCCGUCAUAUUUUGCGUCGUCAUGAGCUUCCUAGUUUGUCUAGUAAUAAAGAUGUAGCAGUGUGUGAUGCUUGUCAGCAGGGGAAGAGUCAUCAACUUCCUUCUUCGGAGUCCAGUCGUGAGGUGAAACAUCCGUUAGAACUUGUGUUUUCAGAUGUAUGGGGUCCUGCUCAGACUUCUGUCAGUGGUCAUAAUUACUAUAUCAGUUUCGUUGAUGCUUAUAGUCGCUUUACCUGGCUUUACCUUAUUAAACGCAAAUCUGAUGUGUUUGAUAUUUUUGUUCAGUUUCAAAAACAUGUUGAACGUCUUCUCAAGCACAAAAUUGUUCAUGUCCAGUCGGACUGGGGGGCGAGUAUCGCAACCUGA